ensembl:ncRNA lncRNA:CR45587 long non-coding RNA:CR45587
ACAAGCUAGGAAGCGAGCUUAAAAGGGACAGCGAGCAAAAUGCUUUGAAUUUAAAAUCUGCAAUUUUCUGUUGAUUGCCGCACCCAGCAGACUGCAGUUUUAUAGUAACAUACAGCAGCAACAAUAGCAACAACCUCAAAGUGUUGGCGGUUGGCAAAGGGAAAAGAAGCAGCAGCAGCAGUAGCAGUAGAAGCAGCAGCAGCAGCAACAUCAUCACAACUUUUGCGUAAAAUUCCAGUCAUGUGUCCCUAACAAAUCCCUGCAUUAUUCAUGAAAUGAUAAGAUGACUUUGUGCUGCCGUCGUCGUCAUUCGCUCUAGAAUCCCGCCCACACCAGCAAGCGAACAACCGCCAUCACACCCACGUACCACCUCCCUCGCUGGAGGAGCAGCCCACUAUGCACGUAAUAUUUUUACAUGCAGCUGCAACACGGACUUUUCCUUCGGUCUGCUCAGUUUGUUGUCUGCAUUUAACUACCAAGGAUAUCCGUUAACUAU